rnacentral:rRNA from 1 species
GGGAAACUGCCCGAUGGAGGGGGAUAACUACUGGAAACGGUAGCUAAUACCGCAUAACGUCGCAAGACCAAAGUGGGGGACCUUCGGGCCUCACACCAUCGGAUGUGCCCAGAUGGGAUUAGCUAGUAGGUGGGGUAAUGGCUCACCUAGGCGACGACCCCUAGCUGGUCUGAGAGGAUGACCAGCCACACUGGAACUGAGACACGGUCCAGACUCCUACGGGAGGCAGCAGUGGGGAAUAUUGCACAAUGGGCGCAAGCCUGAUGCAGCCAUGCCGCGUGUAUGAAGAAGGCCUUCGGGUUGUAAAGUACUUUCAGCGGGGAGGAAGGCGGUGGAGUUAAUAACUUCACCGAUUGACGUUACCCGCAGAAGAAGCACCGGCUAACUCCGUGCCAGCAGCCGCGGUAAUACGGAGGGUGCAAGCGUUAAUCGGAAUUACUGGGCGUAAAGCGCACGCAGGCGGUCUGUCAAGUCGGAUGUGAAAUCCCCGGGCUUAACCUGGGAACUGCAUUCGAAACUGGCAGGCUAGAGUCUUGUAGAGGGGGGUAGAAUUCCAGGU